rnacentral:rRNA from 1 species
UACGAAGGGGGGCUAGCGUUGCUCGGAAUCACUGGGCGUAAAGCGCACGUAGGCGGACUCUUAAGUCGGUGGUGAAAUCCUGGAGCUCAACUCCAGAACUGCCUUCGAUACUGAGAGUCUUGAGUCCGGGGGAGGUGAGUGGAACUGCGAGUGUAGAGGUGAAAUUCGUAGAUAUUCGCAAGAACACCAGUGGCGAAGGCGGCUCACUGGCCCGAUACUGACGCUGAGGCACGAAAGCGUGGGGAGCAAACAGG